UACGGAGGGUGCAAGCGUUAUCCGGAAUCAUUGGGUUUAAAGGGUCCGCAGGCGGAUUUAUAAGUCAGUGGUGAAAGCCCGUCGCUCAACGACGGAACUGCCAUUGAUACUGUAAGUCUUGAAUUCGAUCGAAGUGGGCGGAAUAUGACAUGUAGCGGUGAAAUGCUUAGAUAUGUCAUAGAACACCGAUAGCGAAGGCAGCUCACUAGGUCUGGAUUGACGCUCAGGGACGAAAGCGUGGGGAGCAAACAGG
rnacentral:rRNA from 1 species